rnacentral:sRNA from 1 species
GACUGGGAAGAUGGCCGUCUUUCCUUGGCACUCCAGGAAUAGGAACUACAAAGCUGAAUUUGCAUCAUGCCGACUGGAGGCUGUACCAUUGGAGUUUGGGGACUAUCACCCUCUGAAACCCAUAACUGUCACAGAGUCAAAGACAAAGAAAGUGAACCGGAAAGGAAGCACUUCUUCCACGUCCUCCUCCUCCUCCAGCUCCGUGGUGGACCCGCUGAGCAGCGUCCUCGAUGGGACUGACCCCCUCUCCAUGUUUGCAGCCACUGCUGACCCCGCAGCCUUGGCAGCUGCCAUGGACAGCUCCAGAAGGAAACGUGAUAGAGAUGAUAACUCCGUUGUAGGAUCGGAUUUUGAGCCUUGGGCCAACAAACGGGGAGAAAUCCUUGCCCGGUACACCACUACCGAAAAGCUGUCUAUUGUGAGUACCAGGAGACCCUCUCCAGGGUCUACUUUGGAGUUAGUAGUAAUUUCUUUUUGUUAUGUUGCUUCAACUCCUGGGCUCUGUAAGUUUCACUUAUUUAUUUAUUUUUCUACUUCUCUUAAAAGCUCACAUAUAA